GGAGAUAAUUAAAAGAAGAAAAAAAAGUUCCAGGGAAAGGUAGCUUUCAAAUCUGCUUUGGAUCAGUGCUUUUUUGUCAAACAAAAAUCCUUUGUGAAUACCCUUAAUCUUUUUAAUAAGAAAAAACCCAGGGUGAAGAGGAAAUGUAAAAUAGAAGAUAGUUCUAUACAAAUAAUUAAGGGUUGAGAAUGGCCCUCAUGGCUGAUUGCUUAUAUAUCAUUCCUGCCUAUCCUCUUUUCUCUAUUUCUAAAAAUCUUGAAAAUUACCAAUACAAGACCAAAAUAUUUGGAGGACUCUUCUGACGAAACAAAUUAUUGUCAGCAAAGUUGUUUUUUUUCUUCAAAUCCAAAGAAUUUUGA
rnacentral:lncRNA from 1 species